rnacentral:rRNA from 1 species
UACGUAGGGGGCAAGCGUUGUCCGGAAUCAUUGGGCGUAAAGAGCGUGUAGGCGGCUUGGUAAGUCCGCUGUGAAAGUCCAGGGCUCAACCCUGGAAUGCCGGUGGAAACUGUCAAGCUUGAGUCCGGAAGAGGCGAGUGGAAUUCCUGGUGUAGCGGUGAAAUGCGCAGAUAAUCAGGAGGAACACCGAUGGCGAAGGCAGCUCGCUGGGACGGUACUGACGCUGGAGGCGCGAAAGCGUGGGGAGCAAACAGGAAUU